GACGAACGCUGGCGGCGUGCUUAACACAUGCAAGUCGAACGGAAAGGCCCUGCUUUUGUUGGGUUCUCGAGUGGCGAACGGGUGAGUAACACGUGAGUAACCUGCCCUUGACUUUGGGAUAACUUCAGGAAAAUGGGGCUAAUAUCGGAUAUGAGCUCCUGCUGCAUGGUGGGGGUUGGAAAGUUUCGGCGGUUGGGGAUGGACUCGCGGCUUAUCAGCUUGUUGGUGGGGUAGUGGCUUACCAAGGCUUUGACGGGUAGCCGGCCUGAGAGGGUGACCGGCCACAUUGGGACUGAGAUACGGCCCAGACUCCUACGGGAGGCAGCAGUGGGGAAUAUUGCACAAUGGGCGGAAGCCUGAUGCAGCAACGCCGCGUGCGGGAUGACGGCCUUCGGGUUGUAAACCGCUUUCGCCUGUGACGAAGCGUGAGUGACGGUAAUGGGUAAAGAAGCACCGGCUAACUACGUG
rnacentral:rRNA from 1 species